CCCUUAGAUGUUCUGGGCCGCACGCGCGCUACACUGACGAAUGCAACGAGCUUAUAACCUUGGCCGAAAGGUCUGGGUAAUCUCCAAAUUUCGUCGUGAUGGGGAUAGAUUAUUGCAAUUAUUAAUCUUCAACGAGGAAUGCCUAGUAAGCGCAAGUCAUCAGCUUGCGUUGAUUACGUCCCUGCCCUUUGUACACACCGCCCGUCGCUCCUACCGAUUGAAUGGUCCGGUGAAGCGCUCGGACCGCGGCCUCUUGACGGUUUUCCGUCGAUUGGCUGUGGGAAGUUCGUUAAACCUUAUCAUUUAGAGGAAGGAGACNUCGUAACA
rnacentral:rRNA from 1 species